AGAAAAAGAGGGAGAUGAAACGAAUUCAUUAAGAGAGAGUAUUGAUUGACAUGAGUAAAGAAGAGAAUUGAUUGAUAAGAAGUGGAUCGAUUAGAACUGAGUGAGUUUGUAUGAUCUUCAAUCGGAGAAGACGAAGUGGUGGAGGUUAGUUGAUACGAUUGAUGCAUCAUUCCUAGGUUUGGGUUUCUGAAUAAGCUCAUACGUUGAAGCCCACAUGAAGAAGGGAAUGGAUCAAUAUGGGCUUAAGGCUAAAUAACACUUCUUACACGGUUAAGCGCAUCACUGCAUGUUUUUUUUUGUGGCUUCUUCCAGACUUACCAUUUUUGCAGAUGAUGAUGAAUCUCCUCUAUUUGCUGUUUUAUUCCUGCAACAAUGUAACACGUUUCUCUAAAGACCGAACCUCAAAUGUAGAGUUCUAUGGCUAGCACUCAGUCUCACCAAUCACACCUUCUGUAUGCGUAGAAUCAGGGAUAGGAGAGAUCUGAGCCACAUAACCAACAUGAACUUGAAAAUUGACGUCUCCAAAGUUUUCUGUUAAAGUACAAAUUAAAAAGUGGGAAAUUUUAAACUUUAAGACACAAACUUCGCCACAGCCAACACAGAUUUUGGAACUACCCCGUGAUCUAGACAUGAUUCAUCAGUUUGGUCUAGCGUUUUCUUAAAUCCGGAACAGUGGCUUGUACCAUAAUCUAACAAUCACAAUGAAAUCAAUCUUCAACUAAAAGAAGACCAGGAAAGAGGAGAAUAAGGAAGUAGUAGGGUACCUCUUUGGAGUCGUGGAGACAAUUGAAGUAAUCUUCAAGAAGAAGAGAGAUGUACUUCGGAUCUCUACAGUAAGACAUCAUUCACUGAAUUCCAUCCAGAAAUCAUAUCUCCCUUCCCAACUCCUUUUCUCGAAGGAGAUUACAGAGAGAAUGAUGCUGGGAAGAAGAAUUGAUCUGAAGGAUAAAUACAUGAUCCAAAUAAUUUAAGGAAAAUGAAUCUUCGUGUUGACAAAGAGAUGAGAAUUAGAAACGUAAAGCAUUUAUUAAAACAGAUGAAAUUUAUGAUGAUUUCUAGAUCAGACGGUAGCGCAACUGGGUUUCGUGGGGACCUGGUGAGAUAUCUUUGAAGAACAUAACUUCCUGAUCAUUGCCCGAGGAGACAGGUGACUUGCCGUUUGGUUUCAUGGCCAUGGUUUUGGUUUGUAGUAAGUGAAGAAAAACAAUAUAUAAAGGAGAAAAAGAAAAAGAGGGAGAUGAAACGAAUUCAUUAAGAGAGAGUAUUGAUUGACAUGAGUAAAGAAGAGAAUUGAUUGAUAAGAAGUGGAUCGAUUAGAACUGAGUGAGUUUGUAUGAUCUUCAAUCGGAGAAGACGAAGUGGUGGAGGUUAGUUGAUACGAUUGAUGCAUCAUUCCUAGGUUUGGGUUUCUGAAUAAGCUCAUACGUUG
rnacentral:lncRNA from 1 species